AUGUUUUACUACAAACGCUUCAGUUUAAGAAUGUUUUACGUGCGUAUAACGCAUUUAUAUACAACUUUCAGCAACGGAUCUCUUGGCUCUCGCAUCGAUGAAGAACGCAGCGAAAUGCGGUAAGUAAUGUGAAUUGCAGAAUUCAGUGAAUCAUCGAAUCUUUGAACGCACCUUGCGCUCCCUGGUAUUCCGGGGAGCAUGCCUGUUUGAGUGUCAUGGUAUUCUCAACCUUCAUAACUUUUGUUAUCGAAGGCUUGGACUUGGAGGUUGUGCUGGCUUCUAGUUAAGUCGGCUCCUCUUAAAUGUAUUAGCGUGAGUGUAACGGAUCGCUUCGGUGUGAUAAUUAUCUGCGCCGUGGUCGUGAAGUAACAUAAGCUUGCGCUUCUAACCGUCCUUCAGUUGGACAAUUACUUUGACAUCUGACCUCAAGUCAGGUAGGACUACCCGCUGAACUUAAGCAUAUCAAUAAGCGGAGGA
rnacentral:rRNA from 1 species